AUGAGCGUAUGUCUUGUGAGAAACUCACAUGUUUGCAUAUGAUGAUUUAAAGGAGCUUGGAAUUGCAUUGACAUGGCUAGCUCACACAUGGCUUUUCAACGUUUUGUUUGAAGGAAAUUUGGUUAAUUAUUGGAUGAUGUUUUGAGCUCUUGAUUAGUUCUUGGUUGUUUGUAUCAUGAUUAGCACUUAUCUCUGAAAUCGAAUUUGAGAAGUUGGCUACUAAGUUGUUGAAUCUAGUUUUAGUUGAGUAGUUUUGUUUUGUGUUUUGUUUUGCUAGAGGACUAGCAAAAAUGCAAGUUUGGGGGUAUUUGAUCACUCAUAUAUUUCAUACAUUUAUACCAUCUAUUUCUAAAGUCUUUGUGAUGUUUUUGUGAAAAUUAUGGCAUUUUACCUUACCUUGUGUUAUUGUGCAGUUAAAUGUGUUUUAUGAUCAAUUUCAAUUAAAAGGAAGAAAAGUGGAAACACUGACAGAGAGGAGUGGGAGACUGGCGGAAAGAAAAGAAAAUAAAUAAAA
rnacentral:lncRNA from 1 species